rnacentral:rRNA from 1 species
GACGAACGCUGGCGGCGUGCUUAACACAUGCAAGUCGAACGGAAAGGCCCUGCUGGUGUGGGGUGCUCGAGUGGCGAACGGGUGAGUAACACGUGAGUAACCUGCCCUUGACUUUGGGAUAACUUCAGGAAACUGGGGCAAAUACCGUAUAGGAGCUCCUGCUGCAUGGUGGGGGUUGGAAAGGGUGGGCGGUGGGGGAUGGACUCGCGGCUUAUCAGCUUGUUGGUGGGUUGGUGGCUUACCAAGGCAUGGACGGGUGGCCGGCCUGGGAGGGUGACCGGCCACAUUGGGACUGAGAUCCGGCCCAGCCUCCUCCGGGAGGCAGAAGUGGGGAUUAUUGAACAAUGGGCGGAGGCCGGAUGCAGCAACGCCGCGUGCGGGAUGACGGCCUUCGGGUUGUAACCCCCUUCCGCAUGUGCCGAAGUGUGAGUGACGGUAAUGGGUAAAGAAGCACCGGCUAACUACGUG